rnacentral:rRNA from 1 species
AGAGUUUGAUCAUGGCUCAGGACGAACGCUGGCGGCGUGCUUAACACAUGCAAGUCGAACGAUGACGGUGGUGCUUGCACCACCUGAUUAGUGGCGAACGGGUGAGUAACACGUGAGUAAUCUGCCCCUCACUUCGGGAUAACCUCGGGAAAUCGUGGCUAAUACCGGAUAUGAGCUCCUGCCGCAUGGUGGGGGUUGGAAAGAUUUAUCGGUGAGGGAUGGACUCGCGGCCUAUCAGUUUGUUGGUGAGGUAAUGGCUCACCAAGACGAUGACGGGUAGCCGGCCUGAGAGGGCGACCGGCCACACUGGGACUGAGACACGGCCCAGACUCCUACGGGAGGCAGCAGUGGGGAAUAUUGCACAAUGGGCGAAAGCCUGAUGCAGCGACGCCGCGUGGGGGACGACGGCCUUCGGGUUGUAAACCCCUUUCAGUAGGGAAGAAGCGAAAGUGACGGUACCUGCAGAAGAAGCGCCGGCUAACUACGUGCCAGCAGCCGCGGUAAUACGUAGGGCGCAAGCGUUGUCCGGAAUUAUUGGGCGUAAAGAGCUCGUAGGUGGCUUGUCGCGUCUGCCGUGAAAACCCGAGGCUCAACCUCGGGCGUGCGGUGGGUACGGGCAGGCUAGAGUGUGGUAGGGGAGACUGGAACUCCUGGUGUAGCGGUGAAAUGCGCAGAUAUCAGGAAGAACACCGAUGGCGAAGGCAGGUCUCUGGGCCAUUACUGACACUGAGGAGCGAAAGCAUGGGUAGCGAACAGGAUUAGAUACCCCGGUAGUCC